GAUGAACGCUGGCGGCGUGCUUAACACAUGCAAGUCGAACGGAAAGGCCCAAGCUUGCUUGGGUACUCGAGUGGCGAACGGGUGAGUAACACGUGGGUGAUCUGCCCUGCACUUCGGGAUAAGCCUGGGAAACUGGGUCUAAUACCGGAUAGGACCACAUUUUGGAUGGUGUGGUGGAAAGUUUUUCGGUGUGGGAUGAGCUCGCGGCCUAUCAGCUUGUUGGUGGGGUAAUGGCCUACCAAGGCGUCGACGGGUAGCCGGCCUGAGAGGGUGUACGGCCACAUUGGGACUGAGAUACGGCCCAGACUCCUACGGGACGCAGCAGUGGGGAAUAUUGCACAAUGGGCGCAAGCCUGAUGCAGCGACGCCGCGUGGGGGAUGACGGCCUUCGGGUUGUAAACUCCUUUCGCUAGGGACGAAGCGUUUUUGUGACGGUACCUGGAGAAGAAGCACCGGCUAACUACGUG
rnacentral:rRNA from 1 species